CCUACGGGUGGCUGCAGUGGGGAAUAUUGGACAAUGGGGGGAACCCUGAUCCAGCCAAGCCGCGUGUGUGAAGAAGGCCCUCGGGUUGUAAAGCACUUUCAGUGAGGAAGAACGCCUGGUGGUUAAUACCCAUCAGGAAAGACAUCACUCACAGAAGAAGCACCGGCUAACUCCGUGCCAGCAGCCGCGGUAAUACGGAGGGUGCGAGCGUUAAUCGGAAUUACUGGGCGUAAAGCGCGCGUAGGUGGCUUGAUAAGCCGGUUGUGAAAGCCCCGGGCUCAACCUGGGAACGGCAUCCGGAACUGUCAAGCUAGAGUGCAGGAGAGGAAGGUAGAAUUCCCGGUGUAGCGGUGAAAUGCGUAGAGAUCGGGAGGAAUACCAGUGGCGAAGGCGGCCUUCUGGACUGACACUGACACUGAGGUGCGAAAGCGUGGGUAGCAAACAGGAUUAGAUACCCCAGUAGUC
rnacentral:rRNA from 1 species